AUGAACGCUGGCGGCGUGCCUAAUACAUGCCAGUCGAGCGAACGGACGAGAAGCUUGCUUCUCUGAUGUUAGCGGCGGACGGGUGAGUAACACGUGGAUAACCUACCUAUAAGACUGGGAUAACUUCGGGAAACCGGAGCUAAUACCGGAUAAUAUUUUGAACCGCAUGGUUCAAAAGUGAAAGACGGUCUUGCUGUCACUUAUAGAUGGAUCCGCGCUGCAUUAGCUAGUUGGUAAGGUAACGGCUUACCAAGGCAACGAUGCAUAGCCGACCUGAGAGGAUGAUCGGCCACACUGGAACUGCGACACGGUCCAGACUCCUACGGGAGGCAGCAGUAGGGAAUCUUCCGCAAUGGGCGAAAGCCUGACGGAGCAACGCCGCGUGAGUGACGAAGGUCUUCGGAUCGUAAAACUCUGUUAUUAGGGAAGAGCAUAUGUGUAAGUAACUGUGCACAUCUUGACGGUACCUAAUCAGAAAGCCACGGCUAACUACGUG
rnacentral:rRNA from 1 species